rnacentral:rRNA from 1 species
AUUGAACGCUGGCGGCAGGCCUAACACAUGCAAGUCGAGCGGAGCGGCGGACGGGUGCGUAAUGCCUAGGUAUCGGCCUGGUAGUGGGGGAGAAAGUCCGGAAACGGGCGCUAAUACCGCAUACUAUUAGACGAGACUAGGUCGGAUUAGCUAGUUGGCGGGGUAAAGGCCUACCAAGGCGACGAUCCGUAACUGGUCUGAGAGGAUGAUCAGGCACACUGGAACUGAGACACGGUCCAGACUCCUACGUGAGGCAGCAGUGGGGAAUAUUGGACAAGGGGCGAAAGCCUGAUCCAGCCAUGCCGCGUGUGUGAAGAAGGUCUUCGGAUUGUAGAGCACUUUAAGUUGGGAGGCGUUACCAGCAGAAUAAGCACCGGCUAACUUCGUGCCAGCAGCCGCGGUAAUAC